rnacentral:sRNA from 1 species
UCGCAACGCUGCGACGUUGUCACGGGUC